rnacentral:rRNA from 1 species
CCCUUAGAGUUUGAUCCUGGCUCAGAUUGAACGCUGGCGGCAGGCCUAACACAUGCAAGUCGAGCGGUAGCACAGAGAGCUUGCUCUCGGGUGACGAGCGGCGGACGGGUGAGUAAUGUCUGGGAAACUGCCUGAUGGAGGGGGAUAACUACUGGAAACGGUAGCUAAUACCGCAUAACGUCGCAAGACCAAAGUGGGGGACCUUCGGGCCUCAUGCCAUCAGAUGUGCCCAGAUGGGAUUAGCUAGUAGGUGGGGUAACGGCUCACCUAGGCGACGAUCCCUAGCUGGUCUGAGAGGAUGACCAGCCACACUGGAACUGAGACACGGUCCAGACUCCUACGGGAGGCAGCAGUGGGGAAUAUUGCACAAUGGGCGCAAGCCUGAUGCAGCCAUGCCGCGUGUGUGAAGAAGGCCUUCGGGUUGUAAAGCACUUUCAGCGGGGAGGAAGGCGUUAAGGUUAA